rnacentral:rRNA from 1 species
AUUGAACGCUGGCGGCAUGCCUUACACAUGCAAGUCGAACGGCAGCAUGAUCUAGCUUGCUAGAUUGAUGGCGAGUGGCGAACGGGUGAGUAAUACAUCGGAACGUGCCCUGUAGUGGGGGAUAACUAGUCGAAAGAUUAGCUAAUACCGCAUACGACCUGAGGGUGAAAGUGGGGGACCGCAAGGCCUCAUGCUAUAGGAGCGGCCGAUGUCUGAUUAGCUAGUUGGUGAGGUAAAGGCUCACCAAGGCGACGAUCAGUAGCUGGUCUGAGAGGACGAUCAGCCACACUGGGACUGAGACACGGCCCAGACUCCUACGGGAGGCAGCAGUGGGGAAUUUUGGACAAUGGGCGAAAGCCUGAUCCAGCAAUGCCGCGUGUGUGAAGAAGGCCUUCGGGUUGUAAAGCACUUUUGUCUGGAAAGAAAUGGCUCUGGUUAAUACCUGGGGUCGAUGACGGUACCGGAAGAAUAAGGACCGGCUAACUACGUG